AGAACAGUUCCAUUGCAAAGGGAAUUGUGGGUUUCUGUGUUUUCUCCCAAUUUUCUGCGUGGGCAGGAGCAGCAGAGGUACAAGGGAGGUUCCAGCUCCAUCUCCUGUCCCCUGGACAUGGAAAUGGGAGUUUUUAUCCAUCAGGGAAUGCUGGAAAAUGUAGAAGAAAAUGUAGAACAGUUCCAAAGUCCCAAGAUGGGUUUCUGUGUUUUCUCCCAGUUUUCUGCAUUGCUUUGGUUUGUAAGAGGUGAAAUCCUGUUGGGGAAAAAAAAAAAAAAAGAAAAAAAGAAAACCCACCCAGAGAGUGACACUUCUGGCAGCCACCCCUGGUAAUUUAGGCAGCACAAUAUUACCCAUGGUAAUAGGUUUAAGUGGCAGAUUUAGGUUUUAAGUGGCAGAUUUAGGUUUUAAGUGGCAGAUUUUCAAUUUCAAAUGAGGAUUUUCAGCUUGUGGCCAUCGUGGAGCUCCCCAGCACUCUCUGAAAAAAACGUUUUUGCAACAGAGAGAGUCAGGUUAAAAAUACAAAUAAUUCCCACAUAGAUUUAAAAAUUUCACCUGCUGAAGGCUCUUUCUCUGACCUUUUUUCCUCUCAAAAUUCAACAGCCACGGCAAUUCAUGUCUCCUGCAAUAUGGAGAGGACAGAGGGAUUUAAAAUCUGAUUUAUCUCUGCCGUGACCAGUAGUUGCUGGUGGAAAUAAAAAGGCUUUUGGAGCAUAAAUAACAAAUAAGAGUUGAAGCUGACUUAGAGUGGGACUCUAUAAAAAUCUUAGGAAGCUGCAAGUAGCACCUGAUGCCUGUGAGUGGGCAGGUGCACAAAAACUCAUCCC